UCAGCUUCCAGACACUCCCACAAUACUGCCAGUGAUUGGAUCGGUUAGGUACCUUACCACGCCAGUAGUGCACCCGUCCGUUAAGAUGGUAUUAAACGAUCUAGCGCACACCACCACCAGCCAGAGAUUACACAAUGGUAGUCAGAUACUAGACAGACCAUGGAGCUCGAUGUCCAGUCACGUGUCACCAGCGACGACUUCAUGACUCACACAGCCACUCAUGACUUCCCUGCCCUCGACGACCGCGCUACUCAGCGAGGAAUAUGCUGCACAUAGGAAUACGUGCAUUGAAUUCCACGCUGGGACAUGGCGGCAGUGGUCCGGUGCGCUCACAGUCCAC
rnacentral:misc_RNA from 1 species